UACGUAGGGUCCGAGCGUUGUCCGGAAUUAUUGGGCGUAAAGGGCUCGUAGGCGGUUCGUCACGUCGGGAGUGAAAACUCGGGGCUUAACCCCGAGCCUGCUUCCGAUACGGGCAGACUAGAGGUAGGCAGGGGAGAGCGGAACUCCUGGUGUAGCGGUGAAAUGCGUAGAUAUCAGGAGGAACACCUGUGGCGAAAGCGGCUCACUGGACCAUAACUGACGCUGAGGAGCGAAAGCGUGGGGAGCAAACAGG
rnacentral:rRNA from 1 species